rnacentral:rRNA from 1 species
AUACGGAGGAUGCGAGCGUUAUCCGGAUUUAUUGGGUUUAAAGGGUGCGUAGGCUGUGCGUUAAGUCAGGGGUGAAAUGCCGUCGCUCAACGACGGAGCUGCCCUUGAUACUGGCGUGCUGGAGUACGGAUGCCGUUGGAGGAAUGAGUGGUGUAGCGGUGAAAUGCUUAGAUAUCACUCAGAACACCGAUUGCGAAGGCAUCUGACGAAUCCGUCACUGACGCUGAGGCACGAAAGCGUGGGGAUAGAACAGGAUUAGAUACCCUGGUAUUCCACGCCGUAAACGAUGAUGACUAACCGUCGGCGAUAGACAGCCGGUGGCCAAGCGAAAGCGAUAAGUCAUCCACCUGGGGAGUACGUCGGAAACGAUGAAACUCAAAUGAAUUGACGGG